rnacentral:rRNA from 1 species
UUGUCCUACGGGACGCAGCAGUGGGGAAUAUUGCACAAUGGGGGAAACCCUGAUGCAGCAACGCCGCGUGAAGGAAGACGGUUUUCGGAUUGUAAACUUCUAUUCUUAGUGAAGAAGCAAGUGACGGUAGCUAAGGAAUAAGCAUCGGCUAACUAUGUGCCAGCAGCCGCGGUAAUACGUAGGAUGCGAGCGUUAUCCGGAAUUACUGGGUGUAAAGGGAGCGCAGGCGGGACUGCAAGUUGGAUGUGAAAUACCGCAGCUUAACUGCGGAGCUGCAUCCCAAACUGU